rnacentral:rRNA from 1 species
UACGUAGGCAGCGAGCGUUGUUCGGAGUUACUGGGCGUAAAGGGCGUGUAGGCGGUUGUUUAAGUUUGGUGUGAAAUCUUCCGGCUCAACUGGGAGGGUGCGCCGGAUACUGGAUGACUAGAGUGCGGGAGAGGAAAGUGGAAUUCCUGGUGUAGCGGUGAAAUGCGUAGAUAUCAGGAGGAACACCGGUGGUGUAGACGGCUUUCUGGACCGUAACUGACGCUGAGACACGAAAGCGUGGGUAGCAAACAGG